rnacentral:rRNA from 1 species
UACGGGGGGGGGCAAGCGUUGUUCGGAAUUACUGGGCGUAAAGGGCUCGUAGGCGGCCAACUAAGUCAGACGUGAAAUCCCUCGGCUUAACCGGGGAACUGCAUCUGAUACUGGAUGGCUUGAGUUCGGGAGAGGGAUGCGGAAUUCCAGGUGUAGCGGUGAAAUGCGUAGAUAUCUGGAGGAACACCGGUGGCGAAGGCGGCAUCCUGGACCGACACUGACGCUGAGGAGCGAAAGCCAUGGGAGCAAACGGG